rnacentral:rRNA from 1 species
GACGAACGCUGGCGGCGUGCUUAACACAUGCAAGUCGAACGGUGAAGCUCCAGCUUGCUGGAGUGGAUCAGUGGCGAACGGGUGAGUAACACGUGAGCAACCUGCCCCAGACUCUGGAAUAAGCGCUGGAAACGGCGUCUAACACUGGAUACGAGAUCAAGCCGCAUGGUUAUGGUCUGGAAAGUUUUUCGGUUUGGGAUGGGCUCGCGGCCUAUCAGCUUGUUGGUGAGGUAAUGGCUCACCAAGGCGACGACGGGUAGCCGGCCUGAGAGGGCGACCGGCCACACUGGGACUGAGACACGGCCCAGACUCCUACGGGAGGCAGCAGUGGGGAAUAUUGCACAAUGGGCGAAAGCCUGAUGCAGCGACGCCGCGUGAGGGAUGACGGCCUUCGGGUUGUAAACCUCUUUCAGCAGGGAAGAAGCGAAAGUGACGGUACCUGCAGAAGAAGCACCGGCUAACUACGUGCCAGCCGCCGCGGUAAUAC